rnacentral:rRNA from 1 species
GAUGAACGCUGGCGGCGUGCCUAAUACAUGCAAGUCGAGCGAACGGACGAGAAGCUUGCUUCUCUGAUGUUAGCGGCGGACGGGUGAGUAACACGUGGAUAACCUACCUAUAAGACUGGGAUAACUUCGGGAAACCGGAGCUAAUACCGGAUGAUAUUUUGAACCGCAUGGUUCAAAAGUGAAAGACGGUCUUGCUGUCACUUAUAGAUGGAUCCGCGCUGCAUUAGCUAGUUGGUAAGGUAACGGCUUACCAAGGCAACGAUGCAUAGCCGACCUGAGAGGGUGAUCGGCCACACUGGAACUGAGACACGGUCCAGACUCCUACGGGAGGCAGCAGUAGGGAAUCUUCCGCAAUGGGCGAAAGCCUGGCGGAGCAACGCCGCGUGAGUGAUGAAGGUCUUCGGAUCGUAAAACUCUGUUAUUAGGGAAGAACAUAUGUGUAAGUAACUGUGCACAUCUUGACGGUACCUAAUCGGAAAGCCACGGCUAACUACGUG